rnacentral:tRNA from 1 species
GCCCCGGUAGCGUAGGCUGGUUAGCGCGCCGGCCUGUGGAGCCGGAGGUCGCGGGUUCAAGUCCCGCCCGGGGCC